GUCUAAAGGUACUAGAAUACCAAAACUAACUUAUUUCUGUUCUUUGGAAUAGGUCUAAUUAAAUUUGGCUCGUGCUGAGUACUCUGUUGAGCCAGUGGAACACUGCAGCUAUUCUUUCGAUCCUGAACCUCUUCAGUUCAUCUCUGUAAGUACGGAGCUAAAUCAAUUUAUCUGGAGUACUGGAGCCUGUUGUGAUUCUUUUCUUGAGGAUUUAAUAGAGUAGAAGGGUGCGCAAAAGGCCUUUGAACAAAAAGGAGCUUACUCGAAAAGAAGAUGUAGUUACUGUUUAUGACAAUGCUUUGACUGUUCAUGAACCCAAAUUGAAGGUGGCUGUAACAGCAUAUGUUGAGAAGCAUGAAUUUUGUUUUGAUGCUGUUCUGGAUGAGCAUGUAACAAAUGAUGAGGUAUAUCGAAUAUCGUGGUACAGUUGAACCAAUCAUUCCAACCAUAUUUCAGCGCACAAAGGCAACAUGCUUUGUAUAUGGUCAAACUGGAAACUCUGUAUGAGGGAAGAUGGACGGCAGCAAGUCUGCAUUGUCGGACUGCAGUUUAAAAAUUGAAGUUUUUGAUGUGCAAAUAGUUAGACAGUAUAUUGAUAGAGGGAGUGGAGCUAGAAGUACUGGUACCACAGGUGCCAAUGAAGAAUCUUCAAGGUCACAUGCUAUCCUUCAGCUUGUUGUGAAAAAGCACACUGAAGUAAAGGACACAAGAUGAAAUAAUGAAGUUACUGGAGCCAAGAUUGGGAAGGUGGUUGGAUUCAUUGAUUUGGCUGGAAGUGAAAGAGGGGCAGAUACAACUGAUAAUGAUCGACAAACAAGGAUUGAGGGAGCUGAGAUUAAUGAGAUUCUUUUGGCUAUCAAGGAGUGUAUUCGUGCACUUGACAACGACCAACGUCAUAUUUCAUUUCGAGGGAGUAAACUCACUGAGGUUCUUUGUGGCUCAUUUGUUGGCAACUCAAAGACUGUUAUGAUUUCUUGCAUUUCUCCAAAUGCUGGAUCAUGUGAACAUACCCCUCCAAGAUAUGCGGAUAGGUACUAACGAGGUGUCCUGUUGUGCUCGCUUAUGCUAGACAGCUAGAAGGCAGCCAAGAGUAGUCAAGUAACUAAGCAAUCUUUUCUGUUAAGUAAGAUUCCAGGUGGAAAUGUCUGAUUUGUUAGUGUAUUUGUAGCGGAAGCUUGUAAGGUGUGGAAAGCUAGUGGUAAUUGAAAGAGGACAUAAGUAAGAGAAAGGAAUUGAAAAGUAUAUAUAUAUAUAUAUAUAUAUAGUGAGUAUUGGGAGAGCUCAUUUCUCAUGGAGUGGGAAUUAUCUUGUAUUGAAUCAAUCACUUUGUUCUAUUAAUACAAACUAUCUCUUCCUCUAA